UCUGCAAUGCAGAGCACAAGUUGUCAUUAUCAACUGAGACAUUCCAUCUAAAACCAGAUGGAGAGAGAUGCCACUCCUUGUUUUACAAAAUGCACAUUGAGAAGAGCUGGGUUCUAGUCACGCCCUCAAAAGAUGGAAGCACAGACCAAGUUAUGUAACCUCUCCAGGCUACUUCUGUCCUGAACUGCAGCGGUCUCUGAGAGGAAUUGACUGGGGCUGGGAGCUAACCUUUUCCUGGAGACCUACGAGUAGGACAACCUUGCUGU
rnacentral:lncRNA from 1 species